ACAAGGACAAAGGGAACUUAUGGAGAUGGUGCAAGACAUGCCUGAGUCUGGCUAUGAACUCUCUUUUCAAGACAUGGUGGUUCAUGAGAAGCAUGUGCUGGAACCAGAACAACCACAUCAAAAUGAAACUUCCCUGAACAACACACACAUGCAAAGUAGUGGCAAUAAAGCUCAACUAAAAAAGCUAAAGAAGAAGAAGAAAAUCAAAGAUAACGUUAGACCUGGUCAGAUAUUGCGGGUUGAAAGCAUGGACAGUGAAACCUUCCUCCUGAAGUUGUUCUUUCCAAUCUCUCUUGAUUGGAUGAAGAAGGAUAAAACGAAGAAUGAGUCCAAGGUUUCUUCUAGACCUUCAUUGCAGGAAUCUAUAAAACAAGUGGGAAAAGAUUGGAGAAUUAAAGGAUUUUCCCUUUCAGGAAACAACACAGAAGAUGGCAUGAGUGACACAAACAGGUGGAUACUGAAACUCUCCAUAUGUUUCGGAAACACUUCUAAUUCAGAGAGAGAGAGAGAUUGUGAAGAAAAAAUGAAAUGAAUUUCUUCACAAGCUAAGUGUAUAAACAAAUUUACGAAAUCUCUGUUAUAUAAUUUUUCUGAUUAUUAAUCCCUUUUAUGAAAUCGCUCUUAUAGAGUACUAUUCCUUUUUAUUAGACUUAACUCCUUUUAUUCAAUAAAAAUUUCCUUAUAACAUCUUGUAUUAGAGUCCAAGAGUCAUGAUUGUAGUGAUCAAAUAACUAGAAAUUAACGUAGUUUAAGUGAAACAAACUUGGUGUACUGUAUAUUAUCCACUGAUGCUUUCUUCGUUUCAUCAGGUAUGUUGAUCACAAUUCUUCAUUCUCAAAUGGAUGCUGGUCAUUCCUUCAUUGCGCAAAAAGAAAAUGAAAGAAUAUAAGAGGGUGAAUUACUUAUAAUGGAAAUACAAAACAUGGAGUGCAAUGGAAAUUCACAACAGUAAUAAAUAUGUGAAAGAGUAUUCCAGGGCAUGAAGAAUACCAAAGAAAGACACCAUAGAUUUUAAUUCCCAGGUUUGAUAGUCAAGGAAAUUCAUUUCUUUGUUCACUAGUUAGUAUUGAGAAAUGUAAAGACCACCAACUUCUCUUUGGUCAUAAUAUCAGAGCACAUAGCACAUGUCAAGAGUUUUGUAAUCCGAU
rnacentral:lncRNA from 1 species